rnacentral:lncRNA from 1 species
UUUUGCCAGUACUAACAUUCAGAGCUUAGGAAUGCUUUCUUUCUCUUAAAGUGCCUGAAGCCAAUUUUGAGGGAAAAUAUGAAAAGAUAGAUAAGGAAUGAUCAUUCCUGGUGCCUGAUUUCUUCAUCACAGAAGAAAGCAGCCACCAACUCGAUUCAUUGUGACUUUUAAAAGAACUGAUGGAUAAACCGCAUAAACAGGGACCCAUUUGAUCAUCCUUUUAAAAUCACCUCAUAAAAAGAGUCAUCGCCCCUGGGCAGUUUUUCCUCUUCAGGCAAAAGGGUAACAGAAACCAACUGGCAGACCAUAUUACCAGAUUGUUUUGUCCUGAGCUUGGCCGGGGCCACGAUCAGGCAAAUUAGAGAAACCUGUAGCUGGACGGCGUCCUCUCUGUCUCAUUUUAAAAUGCUCUUUGCUUUCUCUGUCUAAGAAAGGAGAAAGAGAAGGAAAGAGAAAAGAAGGAAAGAAAGAAGGAAAGAGAGAAAGAAGGAAAGAGAAAAGAAGGAAAGAAAGAAGGAAAGAGAGAAAGAAGGAAAGAGAAAAGAAGGAAAGAAAGAAGGAAAGAAAAAGAAAGGAAGUAAGAAAAGACUUCUUAUCUUGACACUUUGAGAACAAGGAAUACGUUUUUUAAAAAAAUCAUUAAUUUCUAAUGAGAUCUUUAUGCUGGUGAACAAAAUCAUUGCUUUUUUGGAUUCACAACAAAGCAGACAGAAAGAAUAGUACUAUUCUAGAACACAUGAGAAGGAUGGUAGAAGUUUGCCAACUUUCUCUGAUAUCUUGCAGAAUAUCAUUAGUCUUGGAGUUAGGAAGUCCUGGAUCUUCUAACAUGCACUGUUUUCAUUCAUCCUAAGCAUGUUUCUUAGCCCCUUAAUGCUCUCUAUACUACUCUAAGCUUAGAAAUUAUAGAUUUCCCAAUAUUGGGAAAUUACAACCCUAAAAACAGCAAUGAAUAUUUAACAUGUUUUUUUUAAAACAAGUCUAAAAAGCAAACAAGUUAGAAUUUCCCUAAGAAAACUCUUUUUUUUUAAACCCUUACUUUCCAUCUUGGAGCCAAUACUAUGUACUGUGUAUUGGCUCCAAGGCUGAAGAGUGAUAAGGGCUAGGCAAUGGGGGUCAAGUGACUUGCCCAGGGUCACACAGCUGGGAAGUGUCUGAGGUCAGAUUUGAACCUAGGACCUCCCAUCUCUAGGCCUGACUCUCAAUCCACUGAGCCACCCAGCUGUCCCCUCCUAAGAAAACUCUUAAAUUUUGAUAUGGAAUCAGAAUGAUACUUCCCAGACUUCUGGCAAGGGUCUUCUACUAGUAUAUAGUUAAUAAGUAUACUCUGUAAUUUUCAGAUUGUGAAAAUAAUGUUGCAUUGAAAAAUAAAAAAAAAUAAACCUGUAUGUUCA